GAUGAACGCUGGCGGCGUGCCUAAUACAUGCAAGUCGAGCGAACAGACGAGAGUGCUUGCACUCUCUGACGUUAGCGGCGGACGGGUGAGUAACACGUGGGUAACCUACCUAUAAGACAGGGAUAACUUCGGGAAACCGGAGCGAAUACCGGAUAAUAUUUAGCUUCGCAUGAAGCAAUAGUGAAAGACGGUUCUGCUGUCACUUAUAGAUGGACCCGCGGUGUAUUAGCUAGUUGGUGAGGUAACGGCUCACCAAGGCAACGAUACAUAGCCGACCUGAGAGGGUGAUCGGCCACACUGGGACUGAGACACGGCCCAGACUCCUACGGGAGGCAGCAGUAGGGAAUCUUCCGCAAUGGACGAAAGUCUGACGGAGCAAUGCCGCGUGAGUGAAGAAGGUUUUCGGAUCGUAAAACUCUGUUGUAAGGGAAGAACAAGUACGUUAGUAACUGAACGUACCUUGACGGUACCUUACCAGAAAGCCACGGCUAACUACGUG
rnacentral:rRNA from 1 species